AGGGAGGAAGAAAAAGAAAGAGGGAGGAAGUGAAUUUUCUGAAUAUGUAAUAAAUAUCCAAUUUUGUAGUUUUCCUUUCUAGGAAAACUGCCAAAGAGACAACCCAGGGGUUUGGAGAAGUCUAUACAUUGUCUCCAUGUUGCUUCUGUAAUGAUUAUUUCAAGACUUUGAGGGUCUAAGCCUUGGUGGAUUUGGGUGUACCAUGCAAGCAGGCAGGCAAGACUGCUGCCUUCAUGGGCCCUGAAGUGUAUCUGUCUCCUGGGAGUUAGACUCCAGGCCAUCAGAAGUGAGAGCCAGAAGGCCACGGAGCUGGAGCUAAAGCUGCCAUUCUCUGGGUUACUCCCCUCAGAUGCUGGAGAUGGGGGGCUUGGGCAUGGCAGGUCCAGGUCUGGCCUCUGGGUGUUUGUAACUAAGAGCACAGCAGAGUCUGUAUGGCUGACAAGAUUGUCCAGAAAUGGGGAGAAUUCAAGGUGAAUAUGGUUGCGAGUGAAGGAGAGAUGGAUUGGGAGACUCCCGGCUUGGAUUCAAAUGGCAGUUGUAUUUCUGACCCAUGCUUAUUCUUGAUUCCGUGAGACGUGGCAUCGGUGGAGACUUCCCCCGCGGACCAGACUGCAGUUCUCAGGGCAGAGGCUCUCCAUCGCCAGCUUUGGCUUUACCUAAGGUAGCUGCAGAGCGGAGAAGAUUCUUCUGAGCCUAAUGGACACCCAGACCUGCCAGCUUCCUGGCACCCGGGACCAGGAGCUCCUGAGCAGGCCUCAGAAAGGAGCAGUGGGCAGGAGGAAAGGGCGUCCCACCUCGGACCGGCCGCCCUCCUGGCACGGCAGCUCCCUCGUGGUGCCAAAGUGAACAGCCGUCUGGUGAUCCUCUUCUCCUCAUGCCUGGCCACACUGGCCUACCAUGUGCCUACUCCAUCCUCAGGGCGCUCGCCCCUCCAUUCACUGUCUAAAGAAGGAACCUGUCCCAGACAUCAGGAGGCAGGUGCUUGUCAGAACGUCCGGAGGAGGAAGAGAAUUCCAGGUGGGCAGCUGGAUCCUAGAGUGUGCAGAGGGGAAUAAAGAGCCAGAAGUCUGGAAACAUCAAAGGGGUUCAGGUUAUAAAAAGCCUUCAAAGCCAAAUGGAGGACUUAGGACUUGAGCCUGGAUGUAAGAGGGAGCCAUUCAACUUUACUGAGGAAGGGAGUGACCUGGCCAGACAUACACUUUAUUUUUUAAAAAAUGUAUUUAUUUAGUCAAUUUAGAACAUUAUUCCAUGGUUACAAGAAUCACAUUAUUUUCCUCCCCUCCACCCACCUCUUCCAUAGUUGACGCACAAUUUCACUGGGUAUUCCAUGUGUCCUUGAUCAGAACCUAUUUCCACGUUGUUGAUGUUUGCACUGGGAUGUUCAUUUAGAGUCUACAUCGCCAGUCAUGUCCCCUCGACCAUGUGAUCGAGCAGUUGUUUUUCUUCCAUGUUUCUACUCCCACAGUAUUUCCUCUGGAUGUGGAUAGAGAUUUUUCUCGUAGAUCCCUCCUAGUUGCUCAGGAUCACUGCACUGCCACUAAUGGAGAAGUCUAUUACGUUCUCUUGUACCACAGUGUUAUCAGUCUCUGUGUACAAUGUUCUGGUUCUGCUCCUCUCACUCUGCAUCACUUCCUGGGGGUUGUUCCAGUCUUCAUGGAAUUCCUCCACUUUAUUAUUCCUUUGAGCACAACAGUAUUCCAUCACCAACAUAUACCACAAUGUGCUCAGCCAUUCCCCAAUUGAUGGGCAUCCCCUCGUUAUCCAAUUUUUGGCCACCACAAAGAGCGCAGCUAUGAAUGUUCUUGUACAAGUCUUUUUCCUUAUUAUCUCUUUGGGGUACAAACCCAGCAGUGCUAUGGCUGGAUCAAAGGGCAGACAGUCUUUUAGCACCCUUUGGGCAUAGUUCCAAAUUGCCCUCCAGAAUGGUUGGAUCAGUUCACAACUCCACCAGCAAUGCAUGAAAGUCCCCACUUUGCCACAUCCCCUCCAGUGUUCAUUACUUUCCUUUGAUGUCAUGUUAGCCAAUCUGCUGGGUGUGAGGUGGUACCUCAGAGUUGUUUUGAUUUGCAUCUCUCUGAUUAUAAGAGAUUUAGACACUUUUUCAUGUGCUUAUUAAUAGUUUUGAUUUCUUUAUCUGAAAAUAAUAAAACUGCCUAUUCAUGUUGUAACAGUUAAAAUUUAGGGGAGACUGAGGCAGGUACAAUGUCCCUUGCCCAUUUAUUAAUUGGGGAAUAACUUGAUUUUUUGUACAAUUGAUUUUGCUCCUUAUAAAUUUGAGUAAUUAGA